AUUGAACGCUGGCGGCAGGCCUAACACAUGCAAGUCGAGCGGGGUUUUCGGACCUAGCGGCGGACGGGUGAGUAAUGCGUAGGAAGCUACCCGAUAGAGGGGGAUACCAGUUGGAAACGACUGUUAAUACCGCAUAAUGUCUACGGACCAAAGUGUGGGACCUUCGGGCCACAUGCUAUCGGAUGCGCCUACGUGGGAUUAGCUAGUUGGUGAGGUAAUGGCUCACCAAGGCGACGAUCCCUAGCUGGUUUGAGAGGAUGAUCAGCCACACUGGAACUGGGGCAGGGUGCAGACUCCUACGGGAGGCAGCAGGGGGGAAUAUUGGACAAUGGGCGCAAGCCUGAUCCAGCAUGCCGCGUGUGUGAAGAAGGCCUUCGGGUUGUAAAGCACUUUCAGUAGGGAGGAAGCGUUGUGUGUUAAUAGUACACAGCGUUGACGUUACCUACAGAAGAAGCACCGGCUAACUCUGUGCCAGCCGCCGCAGUAACAC
rnacentral:rRNA from 1 species